UUCCUUAAAGUAAGAAAAAGCAGAGGUA
rnacentral:piRNA from 1 species